rnacentral:rRNA from 1 species
UACGUAGGUGGCAAGCGUUGUCCGGAAUUAUUGGGCGUAAAGGGCGCGUAGGCGGCCUGGCAAGUGGAAGGUGAAAUCCCUCGGCUUAACCGAGGAACUGCCUCCCAAACUGCUUGGCUUGAGACCAGGAGAGGUGAGUGGAAUUCCCAGUGUAGCGGUGAAAUGCGUAGAUAUCAGGAGGAACACCGGUGGCGAAGGCGGAUCUCUGGGCCAUUACUGACGCUGAGGAGCGAAAGCGUGGGGAGCGAACAGG